rnacentral:rRNA from 1 species
CUGGCUCAGGAUGAACGCUGGCGGCGUGCUUAACACAUGCAAGUCGAACGAAGCAACUUAUCACGAUUCCUUCGGGGUGACGAUUUGUUGACUGAGUGGCGGACGGGUGAGUAACGCGUGGGUAACCUACCUUGUACAGGGGGACAACAGUUGGAAACGACUGCUAAUACCGCAUAAGCGCACAGCUUCGCAUGAAGCAGUGUGAAAAGUUUUUCGGUACAAGAUGGACCCGCGUCUGAUUAGCUAGUUGGUGAGGUAACGGCCCACCAAGGCGA